rnacentral:rRNA from 1 species
GUCGUGGGGCAGCAUGGUGUAGCAAUACACUGAUGGCGACCGGCAAACGGGUGCGGAACACGUACGCAACCUUCCCAAAACUGGUGAAUAGCCCUCCGAAAGGAGGAUUAAUACACCGUAAUAUAAUGAAAUGGCAUCAUUUUAUUAUUAUAGCUCCGGCGGUUUUGGAUGGGCGUGCGCCUGAUUAGGUAGUUGGUGGGGUAAUGGCCCACCAAGCCUGCGAUCAGUAACUGGUGUGAGAGCACGACCAGUCACACGGGCACUGAGACACGGGCCCGACUCCUACGGGAGGCAGCAGUAAGGAAUAUUGGUCAAUGGACGCAAGUCUGAACCAGCCAUGCCGCGUGAAGGAUGAAGGUCCUCUGGAUUGUAAACUUCUUUUAUAGGGGACGAAAAAAGGGAAUUCUUUCUCACUUGACGGUACCCUAGGAAUAAGCACCGGCUAACUCCGUGCCAGCAGCCGCGGUAAUACGGAGGGUGCAA